UGCCAGACUCCUACGGGAGGCAGCAGUGGGGAAUAUUGCACAAUGGGGGAAACCCUGAUGCAGCAACGCCGCGUGAGUGAAGAAGUAUUUCGGUAUGUAAAGCUCUAUCAGCAGGGAAGAAGAAAGACGGUACCUGACUAAGAAGCCCCGGCUAACUACGUGCCAGCAGCCGCGGUAAUACGUAGGGGGCAAGCGUUAUCCGGAUUUACUGGGUGUAAAGGGAGCGUAGACGGCGGCGCAAGUCCGGAGUGAAAGCCCGCGGCCCAACCGCGGGACUGCAUUGGGAACUGGCGCGCUGGAGUGCCGGAGGGGUAGGCGGAAUUCCUAGUGUAGCGGUGAAAUGCGUAGAUAUUAGGAGGAACACCAGUGGCGAAGGCGGCCUACUGGACGGUGACUGACGCUGAGGCUCGAAAGCGUGGGGAGCAAACAGGAUUAGAUACCCGAGUAGC
rnacentral:rRNA from 1 species